rnacentral:rRNA from 1 species
AGAGUUUGAUCCUGGCUCAGAAUGAACGUUGGCGGCGUGGAUUAGGCAUGCAAGUCGAGCGAGAACCCCGCAAGGGGGGACAGCGGCAAACGGGGUAGUAAUGUGUCGGAACGUGCCCAGAGGACGGGGAUAGCGGCGGGAAACUGCCGGUAAUACCCGAUGAUCUCGAGAGAGCAAAGGUGUGAUUCCGCCUUUGGAGCGGCCGACAUGGUAUUAGCUAGUUGGCGGGGUAACGGCCCACCAAGGCUUUGAUGCCUAGGGGAUGUGAGAGCAUGAUCCCCACCAUUGGGACUGAGACACUGCCCANACACCUACGGGUGGCUGCAGUCGAGAAUCUUCGUCAAUGGGCGAAAGCCUGAACGAGCGACGCCGCGUGCGGGAUGAAGGCCUUUGGGUUGUAAACCGCUGUCGAGGGGGAUGAAGGUUUUCAGGUACUCCUGAAAAUUUGACAGAGCCCUGGAGGAAGCACGGGCUAAGUUCGUGCCAGCAGCCGCGGUAAUACGAACUGUGCGAACGUUAUUCGGAAUCACUGGGCUUACAGGGGUGCGUANGCGGCUAUUCAGGUCAGGUGUGAAAGCCCUCCGCUCAACCGAGGAACUGCGCUUGAAACCGGAUGGCUCGAGUCAACUAGAGGUGCACGGAACUUCCAGUGGAGCGGUGAAAUG